rnacentral:rRNA from 1 species
UACGGAGGGAGCUAGCGUUGUUCGGAAUUACUGGGCGUAAAGCGCACGUAGGCGGCUUUGUAAGUUAGAGGUGAAAGCCCGGGGCUCAACUCCGGAACUGCCUUUAAGACUGCAUCGCUUGAAUCCGGGAGAGGUGAGUGGAAUUCCGAGUGUAGAGGUGAAAUUCGUAGAUAUUCGGAGGAACACCAGUGGCGAAGGCGGCUCACUGGUCCGGUACUGACGCUGAGGUGCGAAAGCGUGGGGAGCAAACAGG